UACGUAGGUGGCAAGCGUUGUCCGGAAUUACUGGGCGUAAAGCGUGCGUAGGCGGUUCCUCAAGUCCGUUGUGAAAGCCCCGGGCUCAACCUGGGAAUGGCAGUGGAAACUAGGGGACUGGAAUCUGGCAGAGGGGGGUGGAAUGCCGCGUGUAGCAGUGAAAUGCGUAGAGAUGCGGCGGAACACCGAUGGCGAAGGCAGCCCCCUGGGCUGAGAUUGACGCUCAGGCACGAAAGCGUGGGGAGCAAACAGG
rnacentral:rRNA from 1 species